rnacentral:lncRNA from 1 species
GCUGAAAGGUAAUAUUUUCACACGUUAUCUUUAUUUCUACUUGAUAAUAUGACUUCUGAGUAAAGUUUGGUCGACAAACAGCAGGUGGCGAUAUUGUUCAACUGUGGAAGUAAACAGUGACAACAACAAAGACCAACAACACAAAUGUCUGGUAACACUUUAUCACACACGUUCACCAUUAACUAGUUUAUUGUUAGUAAUGUAUACAUGUCAGCAGCAUUAUGGCUCUUUAUUAGUGAUUAAAAAGCGCUUAUUAAUGUUUUAUUCUUCUUGAACACAUUCUGCACCUGCUGGACAAUAAGAACAGGAAGUGAGGAAGUUGUAUGAACAGAACUUCAUGGAUUUGGUCUCUUCUUAUGUGACGAGACACAAACAUACCAAAAGUGUGAAUAGUGUGUAAAUAACUAAUAAAACAAAUCUGUUUAACUCACAAUAUGUUCUCAAUUCUAGCAAGAAGUCUGAAGCUGUUCGGUGUCAAACAAGAAAUGAACCAUGACUGCUGUUGAAAUCUGACGUGACUCAGACGAGGAGAUGCUUUAGUUUUAUUUACGUCGUGUUUCAUCUCGUUCUCCGACUUCCUCCCUCGCUCUCUGACUCUCCUGGAAGUUACAGUGACAGUCGACCGGAUGAAAAUCACAGUGACCUCGAGGAAACUUGUGGAUGUUGGAAACAUUUGGGAUAAUGUAGUUAAAGUUCCACAACUCAACGAAUUAUGGAACAAAGUUUUUCAACACUUUAACGUAGAAUUCUGACAUAAUAUCUAUCUAACAGGAGGAUCUCAGAGCUGCUGCGUGUCAGAUUGAAUCCCUCCGGCUCUUUCUGAUGUCACCACUCGGCCUGCUGAAGGUCAGAGGUCAACCACGGGCCUGGACUGAAGGAUCAUGGGGGAUUCACAAGGACUGCUUUGUUUUCUGUGUUCAACUUACAUCUGUUGUUCCUCUGAUUGGCUGCAUGUUUCAGGUUUUUACAGCUUUUUCAGAGUCAAUGUGCAGGUUUUCUUUUUGUAUAUUGUCACUUUGUUUGUUUGACCAGCUGUUCAUCUUAUCUCAGAUGUUUUGUUUUGAUCAGGGGUUUUUCAUUCUUUCUAAAUUAAAAACAAAUAUGUCCACGUUUCAUUUCAAAUAUUAG